GACGAACGCUGGCGGCGUGCUUAACACAUGCAAGUCGAGCGGUAAGGCCCUUUCGGGGGUACACGAGCGGCGAACGGGUGAGUAACACGUGGGUGACCUGCCUUUAGCUCUGGGAUAAGCCUGGGAAACUGGGUCUAAUACCGGAUAUGACUCCGCGGUGCAUGCUGUGGGGUGGAAAGCCUUGUGCGGCUGGAGAUGGGCCCGCGGCCUAUCAGCUUGUUGGUGGGGUGAUGGCCUACCAAGGCGACGACGGGUAGCCGGCCUGAGAGGGCGACCGGCCACACUGGGACUGAGACACGGCCCAGACUCCUACGGGAGGCAGCAGUGGGGAAUCUUACGCAAUGGGCGAAAGCCUGACGCAGCGACGCCGCGUGAGGGAUGACGGCCU
rnacentral:rRNA from 1 species